rnacentral:rRNA from 1 species
AAUCAACGCUGGCGGCGUGCCUCAGACAUGCAAGUCGAACGCGAAAGUUUCCUUCGGGAGACAAGUAGAGUGGCGCACGGGUGAGUAACACGUAGGUAAUCUACCUUUGGAUGGGGAAUAACAACCGGAAACGGUUAGCUAAUACCGCAUAAUGCAGCGGCACCUAAUGGUGACAGUUGUUAAAGCGGGGGAUCGAAAGACCUCGCGUCUAAGAGGAGCCUGCGGCGGAUUAGCUAGUUGGUAAGGUAAUGGCUUACCAAGCCACGAUCCGUAACCGGCCUGAGAGGGCGGUCGGGUCACACUGACACUGACAUACGGGUCAGACUCCUACGGAGGCAGCAGUCGGGAAUUUUGGGCAAUGGGCGAAAGCCUGACCCAGCAACGCCG